rnacentral:rRNA from 1 species
GACGAACGCUGGCGGCGUGCUUAACACAUGCAAGUCGAACGGUGAAGCUCCAGCUUGCUGGAGUGGAUCAGUGGCGAACGGGUGAGUAACACGUGAGCAACCUGCCCCUGACUCUGGAAUAAGCGCUGGAAACGGCGUCUAAUACUGGAUACGAGAAGGGUCCGCAUGGGCACUUUCUGGAAAGUUUUUCGGUUGGGGAUGGGCUCGCGGCCAAUCAGCUUGUUGGUGAGGUAAUGGCUCACCAAGGCGACGACGGGUAGCCGGCCUGAGAGGGCGACCGGCCACACUGGGACUGAGACACGGCCCAGACUCCUACGGGAGGCAGCAGUGGGGAAUAUUGCACAAUGGGCGAAAGCCUGAUGCAGCGACGCCGCGUGAGGGAUGACGGCCUUCGGGUUGUAAACCUCUUUCAGCAGGGAAGAAGCGAAAGUGACGGUACCUGCAGAAGAAGCACCGGCUAACUACGUG